GACGAACGCUGGCGGCGUGCUUAACACAUGCAAGUCGAACGGUAAGGCCCUUUCGGGGGUACACGAGUGGCGAACGGGUGAGUAACACGUGGGUGAUCUGCCCUGCACUUUGGGAUAAGCCUGGGAAACUGGGUCUAAUACCGGAUAGGACUACGCGAUGCAUGUCGUGUGGUGGAAAGCUUUUGCGGUGUGGGAUGGGCCCGCGGCCUAUCAGCUUGUUGGUGGGGUGAUGGCCUACCAAGGCGACGACGGGUAGCCGGCCUGAGAGGGUGUCCGGCCACACUGGGACUGAGAUACGGCCCAGACUCCUACGGGAGGCAGCAGUGGGGAAUAUUGCACAAUGGGCGCAAGCCUGAUGCAGCGACGCCGCGUGGGGGAUGACGGCCUUCGGGUUGUAAACCCCUUUCAGCACAGACGAAGCGUAAGUGACGGUAUGUGCAGAAGAAGCACCGGCCAACUACGU
rnacentral:rRNA from 1 species